rnacentral:rRNA from 1 species
GAUGAACGCUAGCGGCAGGCUUAACACAUGCAAGUCGAGGGGUAACGAUGGUGCUUGCACCAGGCGACGACCGGCGCACGGGUGAGUAACGCGUAUGCAACCUGCCUUAAACUGGAGAAUAGCGCCCGGAAACGGGGAUUAAUGCUCCAUAAUGUUAUGAGAUCGCAUGAUUUUAUAAUUAAAGCUCCGGCGGUUUAAGAUGGGCAUGCGUACCAUUAGUUAGUUGGUAAGGUAACGGCUUACCAAGGCAGCGAUGGUUAGGGGGUCUAAAAGGAUGGUCCCCCACACUGGUACUGAGACACGGACCAGACUCCUACGGGAGGCAGCAGUGAGGAAUAUUGGUCAAUGGACGCAAGUCUGAACCAGCCAUGCCGCGUGCAGGAUUGAAUGCCCUAUGGGUUGUAAACUGCUUUUCUGUACCAAGAAACGUACUUACGUGUAAGUAUUUGACGGUAGUACAGGAAUAAGCAUCGGCUAACUCCGUGCCAGCAGCCGCGGUAAUACGGAGGAUGCAAGCGUUAUCCGGAUUCAUUAGGUUUAAAGGGUGCGCAGGCGGAAUAAUAAGUCAGUGGUGAAAUCUUGCCGCUUAACGGUGAAACUGCCAUUGAAACUGUUAUUCUUGAGUGUAGUUGAGGUAGGCGGAAUGUGUAGUGUAGCGGUGAAAUGCUUAGAUAUUACACAGAACACCUAUUGCGAAGGCAGCUUACUAAACUACUACUGACGUUGAGGCACGAAAGCGUGGGGAGCGAACAGGAUUAGAUACCCUGGUAGUCCACGCUGUAAACUAUGAUCACUCGUUGUUCGCGAUACAUUGUGAGCGACCAAGCGAAAGCAUUAAGUGAUCCACCUGGGGAUUACGUCGGCAACGAUGAAACUCAAAGGAAUUGACGGGGGCCCGCACAAGCGGAGGAACAUGUGGUUUAAUUCGAUGAUACGCGAGGAACCUUACCUGGGCUUAAAUGCAGAACGAUAUAUCGGGAAACUGGUAUUCCCUUCGGGGCGGACUGCAAGGUGCUGCGUGGUUGUCGUCAGCUCGUGCCGUGAGGUGUCGGGUUAAGUCCCAUAACGAGCGCAACCCUUAUUGUUAGUUGCCAGCGGGUAAUGCCGGGGACUCUAACGGGACUGCCAUCGUAAGGUGGAGGAAGGUGGGGAUGACGUCAAAUCAGCACGGCCCUUAUGUCCAGGGCUACACACGUGUUACAAUGGCCAGUACAAAGGGCAGCUACCUGGAGACAGGAUGCUAAUCUCGAAAACUGGUCUCAGUUCGGAUCGUAGUCUGCAAUUCGACUACGUGAAGUUGGAUUCGCUAGUAAUCGCGCAUCAGCCAUGGCGCGGUGAUACGUUCCCGGGCCUUGUACACACCGCCCGUCAAGCCAUGGAAGCCGGGAGUGCCUGAAGUCCGUAACCGUAAGGAGCGGCCUAAAGGUAAAACUGGUGACUGGGGCUAAGUCGU